GGAAAAGAAAUCAACCGAGAUUCCCCCAGUAGCGGCGAGCGAACGGGGAGCAGCCCAGAGUCUGAAUCAGCUUGUGUGUUAGUGGAACGGUCUGGAAAGUCCGACGGUACAGGGUGAUAGUCCCGUACACCAAAAUGCACAGGCUGUGAACUCGAAGAGUAGGGCGGGACACGUGGUAUCCUGUCUGAAUAUGGGGGGACCAUCCUCCAAGGCUAAAUACUCCUGACUGACCGAUAGUGAACCAGUACCGUGAGGGAAAGGCGAAAAGAACCCCGGCGAGGGGAGUGAAAAAGAACCUGAAACCGUGUACGUACAAGCAGUGGGAGCACCUUCGGGUGUGACUGCGUACCUUUUGUAUAAUGGGUCAGCGACUUAUAUUCUGUAGCAAGGUUAACCGUAUAGGGGAGCCGCAGGGAAACCGAGUCUUAACUGGGCGUUAAGUUGCAGGGUAUAGACCCGAAACCCGGUGAUCUAGCCAUGGGCAGGUUGAAGGUUGGGUAACACUAACUGGAGGACCGAACCGACUAAUGUUGAAAAAUUAGCGGAUGACUUGUGGCUGGGGGUGAAAGGCCAAUCAAACCGGGAGAUAGCUGGUUCUCCCCGAAAGCUAUUUAGGUAGCGCCUCGUGAAUUCAUCUUCGGGGGUAGAGCACUGUUUCGGCUAGGGGGUCAUCCCGACUUACCAACCCGAUGCAAACUACGAAUACCGAAGAAUGUUAUCACGGGAGACACACGGCGGGUGCUAACGUCCGUCGUGAAGAGGGAAACAACCCAGACCGCCAGCUAAGGUCCCAAAGUCACAGUUAAGUGGGAAACGAUGUGGGAAGGCACAGACAGCCAGGAUGUUGGCUUAGAAGCAGCCAUCAUUUAAAGAAAGCGUAAUAGCUCACUGGUCGAGUCGGCCUGCGCGGAAGAUGUAACGGGGCUAAACUGUGCACCGAAGCUGCGGCAGCGACACUAUGUGUUGUUGGGUAGGGGAGCGUUCUGUAAGCCUGCGAAGGUGGCCUGUGAGGGUUGCUGGAGGUAUCAGAAGUGCGAAUGCUGACAUAAGUAACGAUAAUGCGGGUGAAAAGCCCGCACGCCGGAAGACCAAGGGUUCCUGUCCAACGUUAAUCGGGGCAGGGUGAGUCGACCCCUAAGGCGAGGCCGAAAGGCGUAGUCGAUGGGAAACAGGUUAAUAUUCCUGUACUUGGUGUUACUGCGAAGGGGGGACGGAGAAGGCUAUGUUAGCCGGGCGACGGUUGUCCCGGUUUAAGCAUGUAGGCGGAGGUUCCAGGUAAAUCCGG
rnacentral:rRNA from 1 species